UACGGGGGGAGCAAGCGUUGUUCGGAUUUAUUGGGCGUAAAGAGCGCGUAGGCGGCCGAGUAAGUCCGACGUGAAAUCUGGAGGCUCAACCUCCAGCGGUCGUUGGAAACUACUCGGCUAGAGUCCGGAAGAGGAGAGUGGAAUUCCUGGUGUAGCGGUGAAAUGCGCAGAUAUCAGGAAGAACACCGAUGGCGAAAGCAGCUCUCUGGGACGGUACUGACGCUGAGGCGCGAAAGCGUGGGGAGCGAACAGG
rnacentral:rRNA from 1 species